rnacentral:rRNA from 1 species
CCUACGGGGGGCUGCAGUGGGGGAUAUUGCACAAUGGGGGAAACCCUGAUGCAGCGACGCCGCGUGAGGGAAGACGGUCCUCUGGAUUGUAAACCACUGUCCCCAGGGACGAAAAUGACGGUACCUGGGGAGGAAGCUCCGGCUAACUACGUGCCAGCAGCCGCGGUAAUACGUAGGGAGCGAGCGUUGUCCGGAAUUACUGGGUGUAAAGGGAGCGUAGGCGGGGAUGCAAGUUGGGUGUAAAAACUACCGGCUCAACUGGUAGUCGCACUCGAAACUGCAGCUCUUGAGUGAAGUAGAGGCAGGCGGAAUUCCUGGUGUAGCGGUGAAAUGCGUAGAUAUUAGGAGGAACACCAGUGGCGAAGGCGGCCUGCUGGGCUUUUACUGACGCUGAGGCUCGAAAGUGUGGGGAGCAAACAGGAUUAGAUACCCUAGUAGUC